CNCNNCNAGAUAGCCAGCAUGGUCUAGUCCAACCAAAUUAAGGUGAAACCGCGAAUGGCUCAUUAAAUCAGUUAUGAUUUCUUAGAUCGUACACAAUUACUUGGAUAACUGUGGUAAUUCUAGAGCUAAUACAUGCAGCAGAGCUCCGACCUUCGGGGACGAGCGCUUUUAUUAGACCAAGACCGGCCGGGCCUCGUGUCCGUAGCUAUGGUGACUCUGGAUAACUUUGGGCUGAUCGUACGGACUCGUUCCUACGACGCAUCUUUCAAGUGACUGCCUUAUCAACUGAGAUGGUGGUGUAAAUGACUACCAUGGUUGUAACGGGUAACGGGGAAUCAGGGUUCGAUUCCGGAGAGGGAGCCUGAGAAACGGCUACCAGUUCUAAGGAAGGCAGCAGGCGCGCAAAUUAUCCAAUGAGAGUAAUUUCUCGAGAUAGUGACGAAAAAUAACAAUACGGGACUCUUUUGAGACCCCGUAAUUGGAAUGAAUACAAUUUGAAUACUUUAAUGAGUAUCAAUUUGAGGGCAAGCCUAGUGCCAGCAGCUGCGGUAACUCUAGCUCAGAUAGCGUAUAUUAAAGUUGUUGCGGUUAAAAAGCUCGUAGUUGGAUCUCAGUUCCAGUCCCAGGCACCGCCUACCGGUGGUUAGCCCGGGUUCUGAACAGCCAGCCGGUUUCCCUAGAUGAUCUUCACCGGUUGUCUUUGGUGACCGGCACGUUUACUUUGAAAAAAUUAGAGUGCUCAAAGCAGGCGUGACGCCUGAACAAUGGUGCAUGGAAUAAUAGAAUAGGACCUCGGUUCUGUUUUGUUGGUUUUCUGAACACGAGGUAAUGAUUAAGAGGGACAGACGGGGCCAUUCGUACUAAUCAGCUAGAGGUGAAAUUCAAUGACCUGAUUAGACGAACUAUGCAGNUUUUUUUUUU
rnacentral:rRNA from 2 species